rnacentral:tRNA from 1 species
GGGCUUAUAGUUUAGUGGUAGAACGCCUCGUUUGCAACGAGGAGGUGGCAGUUCGAUUCUGCCUAAGUCCA